rnacentral:rRNA from 1 species
GAGUUUGAUCCUGGCUCAGAACGAACGCUGGCGGCAGGCUUAACACAUGCAAGUCGAACGCGUGUAGCAAUACACGAGUGGCGCACGGGUGAGUAACACGUGGAUAUCUGCCUUUUGGUUCGGGAUAACCCUGGGAAACUAGGGCUAAUACCGGAUGGUUCCUACGGGAUAAAGAUUUAUCGCCAAAAGAUGAGUCCGCGCCCGAUUAGCUAGUUGGUGAGGUAACGGCUCACCAAGGCGACGAUCGGUAGCUGGUCUGAGAGGACGAUCAGCCACACUGGGACUGAGACACGGCCCAGACUCCUACGGGAGGCAGCAGUGGGGAAUAUUGGACAAUGGGGGCAACCCUGAUCCAGCCAUGCCGCGUGAGUGAUGAAGGCCUUCGGGUUGUAAAGCUCUUUUGGCGGGGACGAUGAUGACGGUACCCGCAGAAUAAGCCCGGCUAACUUCGUGCCAGCAGCCGCU